CAGGGAGUCGUCUCGGCGGGACAGGAAUAGAGCGCAGGGAGCUCGGGAGGAAGGCUGCGCGCAAGCGAGGGACGGAGAGCCAUCGGCCGCCAGGACAGGGCCGGAGGGACGAGGCGACACGCGCGCGACGCAGGACAAAUCGGAGCUUGGGAAAUCUCCCCGUCCCCCAAGCUUCAGAGGGGGGUAAAAUCAGAAAAUGUGUGUGAUGGUGGGAGAGAGAUCCGGGCGCGGCGACUCCUCGCAGCGCAUCCGGCUCCCGCACCCACCCGUGGAUCUGGCCACGGCUGUUGCGGACUCGUCUCGGGAAAGCGGAGGCCGAGCGCGCGUAGGGGUGCGUGUCUGGCUGGGGGUGCGCAGUGGCGGAAACAAGACAGGAGGCGGCUUGGGAAAAAGUGGAGCAGAAAUGGAAAAAUACAAACUCACCCGCUGCAAAUGGUCUCUCGGUGCAAACUAAGGUGUUUUCGGGCCUUUCCCCGCGCGCGCCCACUCCCGCCCGCGCGCGCACCCCGCGCACACACUCACUCGCGCACACACGCGCGCACACACGCACUCCCGGGCGAGGGCCGGGCCGCCGCGAGUACAGCGUGCAACCGCCACACAAUAAAUAACAAUAGAUUCCUCCGCUCCGGACUAGCUUCCCGGAGCCCAGCCAGCGCCGGUGGCGGCGGCGGCGGCGGCAGAGGCGCGGGCAGCACCGGCCCGGGGGCGCACCCCGGCCCGACCCUCUACCUCCCGCAGGGGUCCCCUCUCCGCUUCACGCACCCCGCUGGGCACUCCAGCGGCCCCCCGAGCGGGAGCGGC
rnacentral:lncRNA from 1 species